AUUAUUCGUUUUAAACUAUCCCAAGAUGCACUUUUCCAAGAUUUAGCGGGUUCUGAUUGGUCAGUAUUGGCGCACUUUAUGAUUCCGAGCGAAGGUUAAAAUGGACAAGAAGGUGCUGUUGUAAAAUGGAGAAUUGAGAAGCAUUAAUAGCCUCUACAACAAGGACAUAAUGCAGGAACGAAGAACUCAUGUCAAGCAUUGACAGCAUACAAAGUCAAUGUUUCCGGUGAUUAGUUGCAUCCUCUGUUCGGUGAUUCGGGUGAAUGUUUUGACCAGCUGGACGAUGUUAACGCAAGAUAAAUAGAACAGACAUAAAGUACAACCCAGUGAAAGGAACAAGUUCAUCGUGUAAUGAUGGUGUUAUUGUAGAUAAAGACAA